rnacentral:miRNA from 1 species
UGCAAAAGUAAUUGUGGUUUUUGUCAUUUAAAAGUAAUGGCAAAAACUGCAAUUACUU